GCAGAGGGGCAAUGCGUCGCGGCAGGUAGCCUCUUGGGCAGGCCUGCCGAGGAAAGUCCGAGCAACACAAGGCAGCUCGCUCUCUAACGGAGAGUAGCUCGUGAGGGCUAUAUCAGUGCAGAAGAAAACAACCGCCUCGCACGCGUUGCGAGGUAAGGGUGAGAAGGUGGGGUAAGAGCCCACCAGACGUAUGGCGACAUGCGUGCUGUGCACAUCGGGCGUUGAAAGUUCAUGUAAACUGGCGGCUGAGGGUAGCCUGCCCAAGGGUGUAUAACACACCUCCGCCAGAGGGUAGAACGAUAACGGGGCUAUGCCCCAGACAAAUGACGCAGGGCCACACACGUGGCACACAGAACUCGGCUUACAGCCCCUCUGCCUUU
rnacentral:RNase_P_RNA from 1 species